UACGUAGGAGGCGAGCGUUGUUCGGAAUUACUGGGCGUAAAGCGCACGUAGGCGGCUUUGUAAGUUAGAGGUGAAAGCCCAGGGCUUAACCCUGGAAUUGCCUUUAAGACUGCAUCGCUAGAAUCGUGGAGAGGUGAGUGGAAUUCCGAGUGUAGAGGUGAAAUUCGUAGAUAUUCGGAAGAACACCAGUGGCGAAGGCGACUCACUGGACACGUAUUGACGCUGAGGUGCGAAAGCGUGGGGAGCAAACAGGG
rnacentral:rRNA from 1 species